AUCCAGCUGACGAGUCCUGAGUAGAACGAAACGUGCUUCCUGGAU
rfam:Schistosoma mansoni strain Puerto Rico chromosome 4, complete genome